rnacentral:misc_RNA from 1 species
AACCAUUCUCACCUGCGGCUAGACCUGCGGAAGGAUCAUUACCGAGUUUACAACUCCCAAACCCCUGUGAACAUACCAAUUGUUGCCUCGGCGGAUCAGCCCGCUCCCGGUAAAACGGGACGGCCCGCCAGAGGACCCCUAAACUCUGUUUCUAUAUGUAACUUCUGAGUAAAACCAUAAAUAAAUCAAAACUUUUAACAACGGAUCU